CCGUGUUAUUUUAGAGCUUAUACGUGCAACCAACCCCGACUUUUUGAAGGGAUGCCUUUCUUUGAUAAAAGGUUGACGCGGGCCCUUCCCGGUGGUGGGAUGAUUUAUGAUAACUUGACGGAUUGCAAGGCCAUCGUGCCGGUGACGCCUCCUUCCAAUUUCUGCCCUAUCCACUUUUGAUGGUAGGAUAGUCGCCUCCCAUGGUGGGGUCGGGUGAAGGAGAAUUAUGGUUUGAUUCCGGGGAGGGAGCCUUAGAAAAGGCCACCACAUCCAAGGUAAGCGGCUGGCGGGGAAAUUACCCAAUCCUCACACGGGGAGGUUGUGACAAUAAAUAACCAUACCGGGCUUUAUGGGUUUGGUAAUUGGAAAGGGGACAAUCUAAAUCCCUUAACGAGGAUCCAUU
rnacentral:rRNA from 1 species